AAGGUAGCAUAAACAUUUGUCUUUUAAAUGGAGACUUGUAUGAACGGCAAAACCUUUUCUAACUGUCUCUCCUAUCACCCGUUUAAACUUCUAUCAGCGUGAAGAAACGCUGAUAUAUCAGAAAGACGAGAAGACCCUGUCGAGCUUAAGUCUAAAAAGAGAAGGUAUAUGCUUAUAGCAGAAAGUUAAUAUCUUAUGAAGACUUUGGUUGGGGCAACCAUGGAGAACAACUUAACCUCCAGAGCGAACAGAAGAACUUCACCUCUCUGUUUUUAAACCUAGAGAACCAGAAACUGGAAAUCGGAAAAAGUUACCGCAGGGAUAACAGCGUUAUCUUCUCUGAGAGUCCUUAUUGACGAGAAGGCUUGCGACCUCGAUGUUGGAUUGGGGCCCCCUUAGGGUGCAGAAGCUCUAAAUGGUUGGACUGUUCGUCCAUUAAAGCCCU
rnacentral:rRNA from 1 species